GGUGGAAGCUGCAGAGCGAACCAUGUAGACAGAUGAGAAAAUAUCUUCUGCCUGCGGAAGGCAAUAGUCCUACAGAAACAUGAGCUCUCUGACCCCUCCUCUCUGUAGACU